AUGCAGUCGAACGAUGAAGCCUAGCUUGCUAGGUGGNUUAGUGGCGAACGGGUGAGUAAUACGUGAGUGACCUACCUUUGACUCUGGGAUAAGCCUGGGAAACUGGGUCUAAUACCGGAUACGACCAAUCUCCGCAUGGGGUGUUGGUGGAAAGCGUUAUGGAGUGGUUUUAGAUGGGCUCACGGCCUAUCAGCUUGUUGGUGAGGUAAUGGCUUACCAAGGCGACGACGGGUAGCCGGCCUGAGAGGGUGACCGGCCACACUGGGACUGAGACACGGCCCAGACUCCUACGGGAGGCAGCAGUGGGGAAUAUUGCACAAUGGGCGCAAGCCUGAUGCAGCGACGCCGCGUGAGGGAUGACGGCCUUCGGGUUGUAAACCUCUGUUAGCAUCGAAGAAGCGAAAGUGACGGUAGGUGCAGAGAAAGCGCCGGCUAACUACGUGCCAGCAGCCGCGGUAAUACGUAGGGCGCGAGCGUUGUCCGGAAUUAUUGGGCGUAAAGAGCUUGUAGGCGGUUGGUCGCGUCUGCUGUGAAAGGCUGGGGCUUAACCCUGGUUUUGCAGUGGGUACGGGCUAACUAGAGUGCAGUAGGGGAGACUGGAAUUCCUGGUGUAGCGGUGGAAUGCGCAGAUAUCAGGAGGAACACCGAUGGCGAAGGCAGGUCUCUGGGCUGUAACUGACGCUGAGAAGCGAAAGCAUGGGGAGCGAACAGGAUUAGAUACCCUGGUAGUCCAUGCCGUAAACGUUGGGCACUAGGUGUGGGGGACAUUCCACGUUUUCCGCGCCGUAGCUAACGCAUUAAGUGCCCCGCCUGGGGAGUACGGCCGCAAGGCUAAAACUCAAAGAAAUUGACGGGGGCCCGCACAAGCGGCGGAGCAUGCGGAUUAAUUCGAUGCAACGCGAAGAACCUUACCAAGGCUUGACAUAUACUGGGACUGCGUCAGAGAUGGCGUUUCCCCUUCGGGGCUGGUAUACAGGGUGGUGCAUGGUUGUCCGUCAGCUCGUGUCCUGGAAAUGUUGGGGUUAAGUCCC
rnacentral:rRNA from 1 species